rnacentral:rRNA from 1 species
UACGGAGGGUGCAAGCGUUGCUCGGAAUUAUUGGGCGUAAAGGGUAGGUAGGUGGUCUCAUUUGUCUGGGGUGAAAGCCUUGAGCUUAACUCAAGAAGUGCCCCAGAAACGGUGAGACUAGAGUCCUGGAGAGGGUCGUGGAAUUCCCGGUGUAGCGGUGAAAUGCGUAGAGAUCGGGAGGAACACCAGAGGCGAAGGCGGCGACCUGGACAGGCACUGACACUCAACUACGAAAGCGCGGGGAGCAAACAGG